rnacentral:lncRNA from 1 species
AUGUGUUUUUUGAGUUAUAUACCUCAGUUUUGUUUUCAUUCCAUCAUCAGGUCUAUUUUAUCUUCAAAAGAUAUUUUCGAAUGGAAAGAAGGAUUAAAAUUUUUGCCAAAUUUGGGACCAGGAAGAAAUUUCCACCGCAUUCCCAUGACUUGGAUUGUGGUGGAUCCUUUCACUUCCUCUGAAUCAACAAAGACGGGAUCAUCAGCUUUCCGGAAUCUUGGGUUGUUUUUCUCACUCAGAUAUUAAGUUUGCCUUGCUCUUCCUAAUACUCAGAUUCUGUCUUCCUGUGGUAAUUUUGCCACUGUUUCCUGAUGCUAUUUCAGCCUAACAGCACAUACCUAGUCAGACAGACAUUCUUCUUGCAUCCCAUUCAGUUUCUAUCUGCCUCCUGUUUGUCUGUUCUAGCAUUCUGAUGUCAUAAUAUCCUAGAACAAACAGUCAGAGACUGAAAGAGCAGAGCAGGACAAAAAUAAACGCAAUAGAAAGUGAAUUGUAUAGAAACA